AUACGGAGGAUGCGAGCGUUAUCCGGAUUUAUUGGGUUUAAAGGGAGCGUAGGUGGGAUAUUAAGUCAGCUGUGAAAGUUUGGGGCUCAACCUUAAAAUUGCGGUUGAUACUGGUUUCCUUGAGUACGGUACAGGUGGGCGGAAUUCGUGGUGUAGCGGUGAAAUGCUUAGAUAUCACGAAGAACUCCGAUCGCGAAGGCAGCUCACCGGGCCGGAACUGACACUGAUGCUCGAAAGUGCGGGUAUCAAACAGGAUUAGAUACCCUGGUAGUCCGCACAGUAAACGAUGAAUACUCGCUGUUUGCGAUACACUGUAAGCGGCCAAGCGAAAGCGUUAAGUAUUCCACCUGGGGAGUACGCCGGCAACGGUGAAACUCAAAUGAAUUGACGG
rnacentral:rRNA from 1 species